rnacentral:rRNA from 1 species
CACGAACCGUACGAACGUUAUUCGGAAUUACUGGGCUUAAAGGGUUUGUAGGCGGCCAUGUAAGUGGGGUGUGAAAGCCCUCGGCUCAACCGAGGAACAGCGCUCCAAACUGUAUGGCUUGAGGGAGACAGGGGUAAGCGGAACUGAUGGUGGAGCGGUGAAAUGCGUUGAUAUCAUCAGGAACACCGGUGGCGAAAGCGGCUUACUGGGUCUCUUCUGACGCUGAGAAACGAAAGCUAGGGUAGCGAACGGG